GUUCGUUCAAUAAAUAGCGAGGUAUAGUGGGCAUCUUUGCGCUUCGAAAAUCAAAUGAACCCACCCGUUUUUUCAGUAGCAUUUAGCGAGCAUCAUCUUCCUCUUGCUCUACCUUAAAAAUUCUACUGUACUGCAAGUAGUAUUACGCAAAGGAAUACACAUUCCAGGGGUUGUACAAAAAGCAUCAUAUGUUAUAGAUUUCUACUUCCAGGUGCAAAAAUGCCUCACUUAUUUUUUAUUUUUUUGUGGAAUACAAUGUUAUAAAUUGACUUAACGUGAACCUUAUACAGCCGAAACUACUCAUUUUGUUAAACACAUCAACAAUAUUUCUAAUCACCUUCUACAAAAUGAAACUUACUGAUAUCCUUUUCUAUUGCCUCACUAAACGCUUUGGCUAAUUGGGAUAAUUCAUUAUCUCCGGAUACUUGGACACUUUAUGACCGUGCUCCAGUAUUAGGUGACUUCACCUUGAAUGUAUCUGCAAUAGGACCGAAUAAUACUAUAGUCGAUAGUAUAUACCUGCCAACCGAAUUGAAUGUGACACAAUGGAUGCAAGAAUAUGCAGCUGAACAUUACACCUAGUCAACUAGUAGUAAUACCUCAAAUGCGAUCUCGUGGUGGGUAUAUCGUUUGAUUUGGGAAUAAAGUGGAUGAAAUGGAGUUUUGUGAUAUUUGAAAGUCAACUUGAACUCGAUUUAUUGUUUUUGAUUUCCCGUUUAGUAUAAUAAUAAGUUUACAUGUAGGAAGCUUUGCAUGUAUUUUAUUGAUUUCAACCGCAUAAAAUUAUUGGGAAAAUGGCGAGGUAAAUUGAAUAGCAUUUAUUCAACAACUAUUAAAAAUAUGUUUUUGAAAGUC